AAGGGGAGCAAUCCCUGAGUAAAAUGGCGACCGGGUGAGUAACACGUGACUAACCUACCCUCGAGUGUGGAAUAACAUCGGGAAACCGAUGCUAAUACCGCAUAACAUCGCAAGAUCAAAGGAGCAAUCCGCUUGAGGAGGGGGUCGCGGCUGAUUAGCUAGUUGGCGGGGUAACGGCCCACCAAGGCGAAGAUCGGUAGCCGGCCUGAGAGGGCGCACGGCCACACUGGAACUGAAACACGGUCCAGACUCCUACGGGAGGCAGCAGUGGGGAAUUUUGCGCAAUGGGGGAAACCCUGACGCAGCAACGCCGCGUGGAGGAUGAAGCCCCUUGGG
rnacentral:rRNA from 1 species